rnacentral:misc_RNA from 1 species
UUAAGUUCAGCGGGUAUCCCUACCUGAUCCGAGGUCAAAAACUUAGAAUGGGGGGGUUACGGCGGAUGCGCUCACGUUUCCAUCACGGUAAAAAUUACUACGCUUUGGUUGCGUGGCUCAUCGCCAUUGGAUUUCGCAGAGGAAGCUUACGCCUCCAGUGCAAGACCAACCAAUGAUAAAUCAGAGAUUGAGGUUUUUGA